GACGAACCGAGCGAACGUUGUUCGGAAUCACUGGGCUUAAAGCGCGCGUAGGCGGCCCGGUAAGUCCGUUGUGAAAGUCAAAGGCUCAACCUUUGAACGCCGAUGGAUACUGCCGGGCUAGAGUCCGGAAGAGGCGAGUGGAAUUCCUGGUGUAGCGGUGGAAUGCGCAGAUAUCAGGAGGAACACCAAUAGCGAAGGCAGCUCGCUGGGACGGUACUGACGCUGAGGCGCGAAAGCGUGGGGAGCGAACAGG
rnacentral:rRNA from 1 species